rnacentral:rRNA from 1 species
AUUGAACGCUGGCGGCAGGCCUAACACAUGCAAGUCGAGCGAGCGGCGGACGGGUGAGUAAUGUCUGGGAAACUGCCUGAUGGAGGGGGAUAACUACUGGAAACGGUAGCUAAUACCGCAUAUCAUUAGAUUUGUCCAGAUGGGAUUAGCUUGUAGGUGGGGUAAUGGCUCACCUAGGCGACGAUCCCUAGCUGGUCUGAGAGGUUGACCAGCCACCUUGGAACUGAGACACGGACCAGACUCCUACGGGAAGCAGCAGUGGGGAAUAUUGCACAAUGGGCGCAAGCCUGAUGCAGCAAUGCCGCGUGUGUGAAGAAGGCCUUCGGGUUGUAAAGCACUUUCAGCGGGGAGGCGUUACCCGCAGAAGAAGCACCGGCUAACUCCGUGCCAGCAGCCGCGGUAAUAC